UCUUGUACUGACUCUGGGCAGUCAAGUCUCUCCUUGUGCAUUUAAACAGGGAAAACUCUCCCUUUAUCUUCCUCUUGGGCACUGUCAGGAUCAACUCAAAGAUUUGUGUAAGAUGUUUGACAAAGAGCAAAGCAUCAGUCCCUGCUGAGCCGUUCUGCCUAGUGAGUGAGCAGCAGAAACAGGCUGGAGCUGACGAUGCCCCUUUGCCACAGAGCUGCUUCAGGAUGAAAUCUGUGAGAAAUGUUCUGAUCACCACUGGCAACGCACGAAGGCUGGGAAACCAGAUUUCUGGGAAGAGUGGCCAACUUCCCAGGGAUGCUCUUAACAAGCAAUUUCAUCUAGGACUUUCUCGGGCACACGGUUUACUCGAUGGCAGAGGCUCCCUCUAUAUAUUUACUACCUGUGAUCCUUUUAGCAGAGUAAACACCACGCGUAGUAAAACAAC